rnacentral:piRNA from 1 species
UGGACUAAAAGCAUCUUCAAGAACUAAAUGC